GCAGAGGCAGGCUCCCGGGGUUCAGCUCCUUCCUCUGCAUCAUUCUGGGCUUGGGGGCCUGGACAGCACCCGCCAGUGACAGCUUGCGGGCCUCACCCUCUGGGAGCUGAGCCACGCACUGUGUCAUUCUUGGUGCCAUCUUCCCCUGCUGCGCCGGCAGUCUCGGCCCAGCCCCCACCUUUGGGUUGUAGGUUGGGCUCCCAAGCAACACAGACCACUCUUCCCCCUUGCCCCACCCCUAGAGGGACAUGACUUUCUUUCUGGACUGUUUGUAUUGAAACAAAUUGUUGUCAAA